AAUAUUAGUCAAUGCUCGCAAGAGUGAACUAGCUAACUGAAAUCACAGGAUCCAUUAUGUGUGGUGAAUGUAAUAACGUAAGGGAAAAAAAUGAUAUUACCUUACUAUUAGUGUUGUCCAAAACUGGUGCCAGAAGACUCGGUAAGGCCAGAGACGCAAACGUUAGUCGCCCUAAUCAGGCGUAAAGGGUAUGUAGGCUGCUUUAAAAGUUUUAUAUUUAAUAGCUAAUAUAAAAAAGUAACAACUUUUUAAAAAAUAUAAAAUGAAUUAAAGCUAGGAUCAAAUUGAGGAUAAUAAAUAACACCUAGUGUAGGGUUUAAAUCUGAUGAUAUUAGGUGGAGUACUAACGGUGAAAGCUUUUUAUCUAGAAAUGAUUGACGCUGAGAAACGAAGGUGAGAAUAGGAAAUAGGAUUAGAUACCCAGAUACCUCUCACAGUCAACGAUGAAUGGUGGUUGUUACUUAGUUUUAUUUAAGUGAUAACGAUGUUAACACGAUAACCAUUCCGCCUUGCGAGUACGGUUGCAAAACUGAAACCAAAAAAAUUAGUCGGUCUCGAAGCAAACGAAGUGAAGCAUGUUAUUUAAUU
rnacentral:rRNA from 1 species